UACGUAGGGGGCAAGCGUUGUCCGGAAUCAUUGGGCGUAAAGCGCGUGUAGGCGGUUCGGUAAGUCUGCUGUGAAAGUCCAGGGCUCAACCCUGGGAUGCCGGUGGAUACUGUCGGACUAGAGUACGGAAGAGGCGAGUGGAAUUCCUGGUGUAGCGGUGAAAUGCGCAGAUAUCAGGAGGAACACCAAUUGCGAAGGCAGCUCGCUGGGACGUUACUGACGCUGAGACGCGAAAGCGUGGGGAGCAAACAGG
rnacentral:rRNA from 1 species